rnacentral:rRNA from 1 species
CACGUAGGGCGCAAGCGUUGUCCGGAAUUAUUGGGCGUAAAGAGCUCGUAGGCGGUCUGUUGCGUCCGCUGUGAAAACUCGGGGCUUAACCCCGAGCCUGCAGUGGAUACGGGCAGACUAGAGGUAGGUAGGGGAGAAUGGAAUUCCCGGUGUAGCGGUGAAAUGCGCAGAUAUCGGGAGGAACACCGGUGGCAAAGGCGGUUCUCUGGGCCUUACCUGACGCUGAGGCGCGAAAGCUAGGGGAGCAAACGGG